AAACAAUUAUCUGCGAGUUCGAUGAAAAGAUUUUCGGACAUCCAUCCAAAACUUUUAUCUGCAAACAUGAUAUUAAUAACUUUGUUACCAUGAAGGAAGUAUCGGGCAGCUGCAUAGGCAUCUAUAUUCGCUACCUAUAUUGUGUGUUGAAAAAACAAAAAUGGUAGAUAUGGUUGGAUUUAUGGACAAUACAGAUGUUGGUGCCAUUGGGUGUGGCAGUCCAAUUGAGCGUUCCCGUGCUAUCGCCGAUAGGCUAAAACGAGCAAAGCGUGGUUAGAUUAUUUUGGUGCCAUAUAACUCUGGAUGUCAUUGGAUGCUGACUGUACUCAGUCCUGAAGAAGACAUUGUCUACUUCAUGGAUCCAUUAAAGAGAAGACUCUGCACAGGAGAGUGGAAGAAUAUUGUUGAUAAUGGCAUCAAAAUACAUAAUGCUCAACUCAAGAGGCAAGGCAGAAAGGCAACUACUUGGAAAAACUGUGCGGUACGAUUAUGAAACCUUUUAUGAAACAGUUUUUAUAAUUUUUGUUCCGAGAAGUUGGUUAUUCACGAAUGAGUUUUGCCCAUUGUUGGUAUUUAAUAUACUGUUUUUAGGGUAUUCCGGAGCAAAAGACGGACAAAGACUAUGGAUAUUAUGUAAUGAGAUAUAUGAAGGAAAUAGUGGAAGAUAAGAGCUUAGAUUUUUUCACCAAGUGGGAGAGAAGAGGCAAAGCAGCAUAUACCCAGGAAGAUAUUGAUGUGAUCAGAAAUGAGUGGGCAAAGUUUAUGGUGAAGACAUAUAUGUAAGCAUUGUGCUUGGUACUUAUGGAGCUAUAUCUUCUUUUUUAGUUCAGUUGAAACUUUGUUCUAUGGAUUUGGUUGGACAUGAGUUGAUGCUUGUACUUUGAAUUGAUAAUGUAAGAUUUGCA